rnacentral:sRNA from 1 species
UGAAUACCUCUACUUUCUUACCACGUAUU